AAGUGUUGCGGUACAAGUCUCCCCCGCGUGUUAAAUGAGUCUCGCAGAGGAGCGUGCAUUCCCGUCGGGCGGCUUUUGUCCGUGCAUGCGCCAAGGUGUUGGAUGGCCCCCCGAGUGGGAGCUUGCACGCUGUCAGCUGCAGCGGAAAGGAAGGAAAAAUGUGGUAAUAGCUUCGACGUAUAAAAUGAUCUUAUGGUCGGCAACGCAACCUCUCCUCACCUAUCAUGAAGGGGCAAGCUCGAAGGAAGACAAAAGCGACAAGGAAUGCGCAGCAAACAAAGCCAUGUUUGACGGAUGUUCUGUAAGUCUGCCACGGGGGGAUCCGUCAUUGUGUCUCGGUGAUUGGUGGCUUCACCUCCCGCAACAUGGGAUUCUUCCCACCCUUGGCCCGCUUCAACCAAAGGAGGUUACACGAGGGAUGACAGAAACAGGCACACAAAAGGCCCUUUAAUGAGUCAUAAGUUUAUAAAUGCUAGCGAUGAUGUAGUCUAGUGAAAAACAAAAACCUCCAAGUAAUUCUAUCAACUUCUUUUUGAUGAAUUGUUGAUUGGCUUGAUAACCUUGUUAUCAAGUGGGUUUAAUUCAUAUCUCAAAUAUUUUUUUGUCACACCAAAGCAAAACACUAGCUGAUAAGUCGAGUCACUCGUAUCACAAUGUAUACCAGAAUUAUUAUUUUUUUAAAUUUGAGUUUUUGGGGGGGUUUUUUUUAGAUUUUCCUUGCCCACCUGGGAAUUUAAGAUCAGGGGAUGUUUGAGAAUAAUUGUCAAUUUUUUGUAUAUGCGAAUCCCUUUGAGACUUUUUGUGAUCUAGGGCUAUAUAAAUAAACUUGACUUGACUUAAAAUAAACUCCUGUUUGCUCAUGUCCCCAGUUAGCAAAACCAGUAACCAAAAUGGAUGGCUGGGUAAAAGUCACAAAAUGUCUAUUGAGGUGACCACCUUAAAGUUUGAAAUGUGAACUUUCCAACUAUUUCAACAGGUGCUCUAUAAAUUGUGUUGAAAGUAAACAUGUUUCUAAAUUCAAUGUGUCUUCAUGAAGGAUUAAAACCAUAUCAAAUAAGGCAUUGUAGAAAAGCACUCACAUGUAAGGACAUGUGGAAAUUCAAAUUUGAUCUGACCUUGUGUAAUCAAUAAACCAUCAUAAAUUUGCACUCUCAUUUUAGUGUGUGUUAGCAUGUGUGUGCGUACAGAAAUAUAUUCCUCAGUACGUGUGAGGAGUUUACAUCCCAGACAGGUCGCCUUGGUAACAAGGUGCUUCCCUGCCGCCGUCGGGUCUCGGCCA